GUAAGUGAGAAUAUUCUCUAUCUUAUCGUGUGGUAGGCUCGCUUGCAUUGUGGCGGAGUCUAGUUGGAUACCCAGAAAAGUGAUAACCGUGUCUGGCCCCUCUGUUUUCUUUGGGGAGAUAGGUACACCUAGUUGCUCAAAUAGAUUAGUGGUAGCUUUGAGACUAGUAGGAGGUGAAGUAUUCUCCUCGAUCAGUAGGAAAUCGUC